rnacentral:rRNA from 1 species
AAGGGCCUACGGGGGGCAGCAGUGGGGAAUAUUGGGCAAUGGGCGCAAGCCUGACCCAGCAACGCCGCGUGAAGGAAGAAGGCUUUCGGGUUGUAAACUUCUUUUAAGAGGGAAGAGCAGAAGACGGUACCUCUUGAAUAAGCCACGGCUAACUACGUGCCAGCAGCCGCGGUAAUACGUAGGUGGCAAGCGUUGUCCGGAUUUACUGGGUGUAAAGGGGGCGCAGACGGCAAUGCAAGCCAGGAGUGAAAGCCCGGGGCCCAACCCCGGGACUGCUCUUGGAACUGCAUGGCUGGAGUACAGGG